UCUUUUAUUUUCUUUUGAGCGAUUGUGCGAACAUAGCAUAGCACGCACUAUGCCUUCUGUGUUGUAGCUGCCUGGCCAGGGCGACUGGCGGAUAAGGUCUUGUGCGUGGCCUCGAGGCUUAAAAGUAGCAGUGGGGCUUUGUGAAGGACAAAAUGGCGAUGGCGGGCCGUGUAGGUCCCCCUUCCUAUGAUGAGGACCUUUUCACAGACCUGUACUGAGCUCCGUGAGGAUAAAUAACUCUGAGGAGAUGGGCCCUGCAAGCCUCUUGCUUAGCCGUCUGUUCAGAAAAUAGCGUUUUCGAAAUGCCCUGAGUUGACCUAAUGUCUUAUUGGGCUCCUGUCUGCAGGAUUUACGCGCACGUUGGAACCGAAGAGAGCUCUGUUGUUGCAAUGUUCAGCCCACAAGAGCUUACUGGUGAAGGAAUGGGACAAGACCCAUCUUUAUGCAAAGCCAGCGUUACAGUAAUGUUCCAGCAUCUCAUAAUCUAUCCUGGGGAAUUCAGCUGCCUCCCAGGGUGAAUACAGGUAUUCCUGAUGACAGUCUGCCUCUAUCUUACAGAGCAGCUUGUUGCUAUAUACCAUUGAAAAGCCUUCAGAGCUGAGAGGUACUACUAACCAAUAACCUGCUUGGCUCAAAGGGCCAGCACCUUCUCUCUAAAGCCCAAGAGGAGUUUGAGGUAAAUGGCUUUGCAAUAGUUACCAUCAAUGGCUGCUAUAUAAAAUUUUCUGUGAUUUUUGUGUGUGAUAGCACUGUGGUCUGGGUGAAUGUACACAGACAUAACUGGCUUAACCCAAAGUCUUUGAUCUCCUGAACCACCAGUGAUGAAUUGCUGCUCACCAGUGAUGAGUUGAAUACCGCCCCAGUCUGAUCAAUGUGUGACUGAAAGGUAUUUUCUGAGCUGUGAGCCUGCCUUCCAGUGACAUGUUCUAAAAAUUGCAAGUUAUUUGAGGAGGCUUUACAGCCAAUAGGAAGUUCUUGGGCUAAGUAGUGUUUCCUAUAAAAUGUGCCCUGAAACUUCUUUCUGCCAAGCAAUAGAUACAAUUGAGAGAUUGUAAAAUGUGACAUAGAAUGAAAGUCUCUCAAGACUACAUUUUUCUUUCUUGAUUUUGCAGGAAAACUAGGUGUCUGUGUUCACUCCAGGCUGAAGUUACAGGUCUGAGCAAAUAAGGUGUAUAAAAAAUGGAAUCUGUCUUGGAGGACAUCAGAAGGUGAAUUUUCCAAGUUCUUGGACAACCUAGCUGUUGAAAAGCUUUCUGGGUUUGGGGGGUAUUUCAGAUGUACCUUAAAGUGUUAGCAGACACAGAUUAAGACACUGGGAGCCAAUGAAACAGCAGUUGAGGGUUUGCUGUGUAUCACAUUUCUGUAUUUUAUCACCCCCUUCCUGCAACAUUAUUUAUCUGGAAUCUACCUGCCCUUUUGUUUUUUAGAUACAAGGGCUUGGUUUUGUUACCCAGGCUGGUUUCAAGGCCAUAGCUUUAAGAGAUCCUCUCACCACAGAUUUCCAAAGUGCUGGGAUUGCAGGUGUGAUUCAUGGCACCCAGACUUUGCUGCCUUUCUUACAUGAUCC
rnacentral:lncRNA from 1 species